CGAAAGCCUGACGGAGCAAGACCGCGUGAGGGAGGAAGGCUCUUGGGUUGUAAACCACUUUUCUCAGGGAAGAAGGACUGACGGUACCUGAGGAAUAAGCCUCGGCUAACUCCGUGCCAGCAGCCGCGGUAAGACGGAGGAUGCAAGCGUUAUCCGGAAUUAUUGGGCGUAAAGCGUCCGCAGGUGGUGAGUCAAGUCUGCUGUCAAAGCCAGGAGCUCAACUCCUGUCCGGCAGUGGAAACUGACCCACUCGAGGGUGGUAGGGGUAGAGGGAAUUCCCAGUGUAGCGGUGAAAUGCGUAGAGAUCGGGAAGAACAUCGGUGGCGAAAGCGCUCUACUGGACGGCAACUGACACUCAGGGACGAAAGCUAGGGGAGCG
rnacentral:rRNA from 1 species